rnacentral:rRNA from 1 species
AACGUAGGGGGCAAGCGUUGCCCGGAUUCACUGGGCGUAAAGCGCACGUAGGCGGAUUGCUAAGUCAGGGGUGAAAUCCUGGAGCUCAACUCCAGAACUGCCUUUGAUACUGGCGAUCUUGAGUCCGGGAGAGGUGAGUGGAACUGCGAGUGUAGAGGUGAAAUUCGUAGAUAUUCGCAAGAACACCAGUGGCGAAGGCGGCUCACUGGCCCGGUACUGACGCUGAGGUGCGAAAGCGUGGGGAGCAAACAGG